rnacentral:rRNA from 1 species
UACGGAGGGUGCAAGCGUUAUCCGGAUUCACUGGGUUUAAAGGGUGCGUAGGCGGGAAAUUAAGUCAGAGGUGAAAGCCCCGAGCUCAACUUGGGAACUGCCUUUGAUACUGAUUUUCUUGAAUAUAGUUGAGGUAGGCGGAAUACAACAUGUAGCGGUGAAAUGCAUAGAUAUGUUGUAGAACACCAAUUGCGAAGGCAGCUUACUAAACUGUCAUUGACGCUGAGGCACGAAAGCGUGGGGAGCGAACAGG